GGUGGAUUGAUUUGUCUGGUUUAUUCCGAUAACGAACGAGACUCUAUCCUACUAAAUAGUUUCACGAUUUUCAAGUCAUGUAGACUUCUUAGAGGGAUAAGCGGUGUUUAACCGCACGAGAUUGAGCGAUAACAGGUCUGUGAUGCCCUUAGAUGUCCGGGGCUGCACGCGCGCUACACUGGAGAAUUCAGCUGGUCUUCCAUUGCCGAAAGGUAUUGGUAAACCGUUGUAACUUCUCCGUGACCGGGAUAGGGAAUUGUAAUUAUUUUCCGUGAACGAGGAAUUCCAAGUAAGUGCGAGUCAUCAGCUCGCGUUGAUUACGUCCCUGCCCUUUGUAC
rnacentral:rRNA from 1 species